rnacentral:rRNA from 1 species
AUACGUAGGUGGCAAGCGUUGUCCGGAUUUAUUGGGCGUAAAGCGAGCGCAGGCGGUUUCUUAAGUCUGAUGUGAAAGCCCCCGGCUCAACCGGGGAGGGGCAUUGGAAACUGGGAGACUUGAGUGCAGAAGAGGAGAGUGGAAUUCCAUGUGUAGCGGUGAAAUGCGUAGAUAUAUGGAGGAACACCAGUGGCGAAGGCGACUCUCUGGUCUGUAACUGACGCUGAGGCUCGAAAGCGUGGGGAGCAAACAGGAUUAGAUACCCUGGUAGUCCACGCCGUAAACGAUGAGUGCUAAGUGUUGGAGGGUUUCCGCCCUUCAGUGCUGCAGCUAACGCAUUAAGCACUCCGCCUGGGGAGUACGACCGCAAGGUUGAAACUCAAAGGAAUUGACGGGG